GGCGGCGCCCGAUCGCCAGCGCCCCGGCCGCGCCCUGGGCACCGGGGGCGCUGUCGCCUGCCGAGCGCACAGCUCUGGUGCCUGGAGGCCGAGCCUGGCGUUCCCCCCGAGGUGCCCGGCCAACAGCGCAGCAAGGCUGCCCACCCCGGGAGCCACGAUUGCCUGGGAGCUGCGGGAGGAGGAGACACAGAGAAGGAGAGAGAGGGAGAGAAAGAGAGAGGCGGCGGCCGCCGCUCAGCCCGCGGGUGCGCGGAGCGCGGGAGGCGGAGCGCGAGUCUAGGUGGCCGCGGGCGAGUGUGCGCGCCCGGCCGGAGAGCUGCGGGAAGGAGGACCCGCACCCCGAGCGCCCCGCCUGGCCUCUUCUCGCGUGCAGCUAGCGCGGCUGCUGCACAGACACACACCCACCGAACGCCACCGAGCACCCGCCGCCCCCGCCGCCGCCGCCGCGCCUCGGGCAGCGGGAUCCAAAGCCAAGUCCAGGGCUGGCGCGGCGCGCAGAGCACCACUUGAUUUUUUUUUUUCCCCCUUCACUCCAGCCCUCUCUGAUCUGGGCGGCGGCGGCAGGGGGAUGGGGGCCCUAGGCGGGGAAAGAGGGUGACGAUCGAAGAAGAUUAUUGUUCUUUUUAAAGGAUGUCUUCGCUUCCUCCCAAUGAGUCUUCUGUGAGCCUUCCUACUAGAGGCUGCCAACCGGAGUGAGGGAUGUAAAGAGAGAAGGAAAGCGGCCAGGAGCUCCAGCCAGCCGGGGAGACCCUCCUCUCUGCAGAGGGGAGGGGGAUUUCCAACGACACAGCCUUGACGAAAGGGACCAUCGCAGGAGAGGAGCCCUCCGAGGGAGCAGGGAAUCCCACCACCCUUUGUGGCACAGGAGCCAGAGCUGCUGGCUGAGUGGAACGGGGUCUGUGGGAGCUAGCUGCCAUGGAGAUGCCUGCUCCAGAGGAGUCCUGCUGCAGCUGACCUCCUCUUUAAGGACCCUGGCUCUGUGGUUCUGUCCAGUUCAAAAUGGCAGAAAAGGCUCCACCUGGCUUGAACAGGAAGACGUCCAGGUCGACACUUUCUCUUCCUCCAGAACCUGUGGACAUUAUCCGAAGCAAAACGUGCUCUCGGAGAGUUAAGAUCAACGUGGGGGGCCUUAACCACGAAGUCCUGUGGAGAACUCUGGAUAGGCUACCCAGGACACGCUUGGGGAAGCUUCGAGACUGUAACACACAUGAGAGCCUCCUAGAGGUAUGCGAUGACUACAAUCUUAACGAGAAUGAGUAUUUCUUCGACCGACAUCCAGGAGCUUUCACAUCUAUUCUAAACUUCUACCGGACAGGGAAGCUCCACAUGAUGGAAGAAAUGUGUGCACUCUCUUUUGGCCAAGAGCUUGAUUACUGGGGCAUCGAUGAGAUCUACUUAGAAUCUUGCUGCCAAGCCAGAUACCAUCAGAAGAAAGAGCAGAUGAAUGAAGAACUGAGGCGGGAGGCAGAGACCAUGCGUGAGCGGGAGGGAGAGGAGUUUGAUAACACCUGCUGCCCUGAGAAAAGGAAGAAACUUUGGGACUUGCUGGAGAAACCGAAUUCAUCCGUGGCUGCAAAGAUCCUGGCCAUUGUGUCUAUCCUGUUCAUCGUACUCUCCACCAUUGCUCUGUCUCUCAACACACUUCCGGAGCUGCAGGAAAAUGAUGAAUUUGGGCAGCCCAGUGACAACCGCAAGCUGGCACAUGUAGAGGCUGUGUGCAUCGCUUGGUUUACCAUGGAGUACCUUUUACGAUUCCUGUCCUCACCAAAUAAAUGGAAAUUCUUUAAAGGCCCACUGAAUGUCAUUGACCUGCUGGCCAUCUUACCAUAUUAUGUCACCAUCUUUCUCACCGAGUCCAACAAAAGUGUGCUGCAGUUCCAGAAUGUGAGACGUGUGGUCCAGAUCUUCCGGAUCAUGCGCAUCCUCAGGAUCCUGAAACUUGCCAGACACUCGACUGGCCUGCAGUCUCUGGGCUUCACCCUCAGACGGAGUUAUAAUGAGUUGGGCUUAUUAAUAUUAUUUCUGGCUAUGGGGAUAAUGAUAUUUUCCAGCUUGGUGUUUUUUGCUGAGAAAGAUGAAGAUGCUACCAAAUUCACCAGUAUCCCUGCAUCAUUUUGGUGGGCCACCAUCACCAUGACCACUGUGGGCUAUGGUGACAUUUACCCUAAAACACUGUUAGGGAAAAUUGUGGGUGGCCUUUGCUGUAUUGCAGGAGUCCUGGUUAUUGCCCUUCCUAUACCCAUCAUUGUGAACAAUUUCUCUGAGUUCUAUAAGGAGCAAAAACGCCAGGAGAAAGCUAUUAAAAGGAGAGAGGCUCUUGAAAGAGCCAAAAGGAAUGGCAGCAUUGUUUCUAUGAACUUAAAAGAUGCCUUUGCUCGAAGUAUGGAACUGAUAGAUGUGGCUGUGGAUAAGGCUGGAGAGUCAGCCAAUACCAAGGACUCUGUGGAUGAUAAUCACCUGUCUCCAAGCCGGUGGAAGUGGGCCAGGAAGGCUCUGUCAGAAACAAGCUCCAAUAAGUCUUAUGAGAAUAAGUACCAGGAGGUUAGCCAGAAAGACUCCCACGAACAGCUGAACAACACUUCUUCCUCCAGCCCACAGCAUCUGAGUGCCCAGAAACUGGAGAUGCUCUACAAUGAAAUCACCAAGACACAGCCUCAUUCCCACCCAACCCCAGACUGCCAAGAACAGCCCGAGAGGCCAUCUGUGUAUGAGGAGGAGAUUGAAAUGGAAGAGGUGGCCUGCCCACAGGAGCAGCUGGCUGUGGCACAGACCGAGGUCAUCGUGGACAUGAAGAGCACCUCCAGCAUCGACAGCUUCACCAGCUGUGCCACUGACUUCACAGAGACCGAGAGGUCACCCCUGCCACCCCCCUCUGCCUCUCAUUUGCAGAUUAGGUUCCCCACUGACCUCCCAGGAGCAGAGGAGCACCAAAGAGUCAGGGCACAUCCAUUUCUAAGCCUGAACAGAGAUAGGGGGCCUGCUGCCAGGGAGACUCCUCUGGAUUAUGCCCCAAUUGAUAUAACUGUGAACCUUGACGCUGGGACUUCACAGGGUCCUUUGCAACCUGACAGUGCUACUGGCAGCCCCAAGAGCUCGCUGAAAGGGAGCAACCCCCUCAAGUCCAGAUCCCUCAAAGUGAACUUUCAGGAAAACAGAAGCAGUGCACCCCAGACCCCACCCAGCACAGCCAGGCCACUGCCAGUAACCACGGCUGACUUUCCGCUCACGACUCCUCAGCACAUCAGUACCAUCCUUCUAGAAGAAGCCCUUCCCCAGGGAGAGAGACCUUUGCUAGGUGCCGAUGCUUCAGCACACUGUCAGGCAUCUUCCAGAGGGCUCUCCCCUCGAUUUCCCAAGCAAAAACUGUUUCCUUUCUCUCCUAGAGAAAGAAGGAGCUUCACGGAAAUAGACACUGGAGAUGAUGAAGACUUCUUGGACCUCCAAAGGUCAAGACCAGACAAGCAAGCAGACUCCAGCCCCAACUGCUUAUCAGAUAAGCCUGGCGAUGCCAGAGACCCUUUAAGAGAAGAGGGCUGUGUGAGCUCCUCCUCCCCUCAGAACACAGACCACAACUGUAGGCAAGACAUUUACCAGGCUGUGGGUGAAGUCAAGAAGGACAGUAGUCAAGAAGGGUACAAGAUGGAGAACCACUUGUUUGCCCCAGAAAUUCAUUCCAAUCCAGGAGAUACGAGUCACUGUCCCACUCGUGAGACCAGCAUGUGACUAGUCAUAAAAGCAAUAAAAAAAACUUCUUUCUUAAAAAUGCGAUUAAUAAUACCGUGAACUAAAAUAUGGGAAACCCCUCACCCCCCCCCCAAAAAAAGUGCAUAAAAUGUUAUUUUUGCAUGGCAUGAACAGUUUAGUUUAAGUACUGUUUAAAUAAAGAGUCAAGACUGCAUUUUGUAACAAACAAAAUUGAGUCAAGAGUAGUGAGCAAAUAAAGAGCUCUGUUAGGAACCAGUGCUCUGCAAUGUCUGACAUUUUUGAUCCUUUCAUUCCGAACUGUAGGCAGGUUUCCGGUUUUAACUUUUACAUUACCAUGAAUUUUAGGAUUUGCACAUGAAAGGAUGAAAUGUCAUUGCAUGUGUUCAUGCUUAUGGGGAGUAAGGUGCUUUGAGCUUGCAAAAUGCAUAUCUCUGUACAUAGGCCUGGAUGCAGAAGUCUCAAGAACACGUGGAUACAAGUUUCUGAGACACAGGAAAACUGACAGUCUUACGACUUCAAAUACCUCUUUUGUAUCCCUUGGAAAACACCACCCAAGUUUAGAAAGGACUGCCUGAAUGGGCUAUUGAAAGGUCGCGCUUCCAAGAGUUCAUUUCACCGUUAGUUAGCUCAGCAACCAGGAAUAAAGGCCAAUGAAAAAGGCUAUUUGAACAGCCUCAAAACAGCAUGGUCCCUCAAAUGGCUAAGAUGUUUCUGCUGGCUGUCUUAACCAGCACAAAUUGCCACAAGAUGUUUUUAUCUCAAAGAUAAGAGCAUAGGAAUGAGUGUGCAUUGAGUACUGGUAUGGAGAUCAAUGGUAAAAAAAAAAAUAAAAAAUAAAAAAAA